rnacentral:rRNA from 1 species
CGGUGAGGAACCUGCCUUGGAGAGGGGAAUAACACUCCGAAAGGGGUGCUAAUACCGCAUAAUGCAGUUGGGUCGCAUGGCUCUGACUGUCAAAGAUUUAUCGCUCUGAGAUGGCCUCGCGUCUGAUUAGCUAGUUGGUGAGGUAAUGGCCCACCAAGGCGACGAUCGGUAGCCGGACUGAGAGGUUGAACGGCCACAUUGGGACUGAGACACGGCCCAG